rnacentral:rRNA from 1 species
UACAGAGGUCUCAAGCGUUGUUCGGAAUCACUGGGCGUAAAGGGUGCGUAGGUGGCGUGGCAAGUCAGAUGUGAAAGCCCGGGGCUCAACCUCGGAAUUGCAUCCGAUACUGCCAUGCUCGAGUACUGGAGAGGUGACUAGAAUUCUAGGUGUAGCAGUGAAAUGCGUAGAUAUCUAGAGGAAUACCAAAGGCGUAGGCAGGUCACUGGACAGUUACUGACACUGAGGCACGAAGGCCAGGGGAGCAAACGGG